rnacentral:piRNA from 1 species
UAAGAAUGCAAGGAUGACACCGCA